rnacentral:rRNA from 1 species
GGGAGCACUGCAACGGAGGAGCGUGCGGUUNANUGGAUUCAACGCCGGAAAACUCACCAAGGCCCGACUGUUAGAUGAAGAUCAGCGUAAUGAGCUUAUCGGAUUUUUCAGAGAGGUGGUGCAUGGCCGUCGUCAGUUCGUACUGUAAAGCGUUCUGUUAAGUCAGAUAACGACCGAGACCCUCAUCUCUAUUUGCUACCUGGUUCUCCGGAACCAGCGCACUAUAGGGAGACCGCUGGUGUGAAACCAGAGGAAGGGGAGGGCAACGACAGGUCAGUAUGCCCCGAAUGUCUUGGGCUACACGCGCGCUACAAAGGGCAGGACAAUGGGAUGCUAGGCCGAGAGGCAUUCAAGCUAACCCGAAACCUGUUCAUAGUUCGGAUUGAGGGCUGUAACUCGCCCUCAUGAAGCUGGAUUCCGUAGUAAUCGUGUUUCAAUAUAGCACGGUGAAUAUGCCCCUGCUCCUUGCACACACCGCCCGUCAAACCA